UGAAGUUAAAGNCAUUGGCUCAACCAAUGUAUGCUUUGGAAACUGUUAGACUNGAGUGCAGAAGGGGAGAGUGGAAUUCCAUGUGUAGCGGUGAAAUGCGUAGAUAUAUGGAGGAACACCGGUGGCGAAAGCGGCUCUCUGGUCUGUCACUGACGCUGAGGCUCGAAAGCGUGGGUAGCGAACAGGAUUAGAUACCCUGGUAGUNCACGCCGUAAACGCUGAGUGCUAGGUGUUAGGUCCUUUCCGGGACUUAGUGCCGACGCUAACGCAUUAAGCACUCCGCCUGGGGAGUACGACCGCAAGGUUGAAACUCAAAGGAAUUGACGGGGGCCCGCACAAGCGGUGGAGCAUGUGGUUUAAUUCGAAGCAACGCGAAGAACCUUACCAGGUCUUGACAUCCCGAUGCCCGCUCUAGAGAUAGAGUUUUUCUUCGGAACAUCGGAGACAGGUGGUGCAUGGUUGUCGUCAGCUCGUGUCGUGAGAUGUUGGGUUAAGUCCCGCAACGAGCGCAACCCUUAUUGUUAGUUGCCAUCAUUAAGUUGGGCACUCUAGCGAGACUGCCGGUAAUAAACCGGAGGAAGGUGGGGAUGACGUCAAAUCAUCAUGCCCCUUAUGACCUGGGCUACACACGUGCUACAAUGGUUGGUACAACGAGUCGCAAGCCGGUGACGGCAAGCUAAUCUCUGAAAGCCAAUCUCAGUUCGGAUUGUAGGCUGCAACUCGCCUACAUGAAGUCGGAAUCGCUAGUAAUCGCGGAUCAGCACGCCGCGGUGAAUACGUUCCCGGGCCUUGUACACACCGCCCGUCACACCACGAGAGUUUGUAACACCCAAAGUCGGUGAGGUAACCAUUUAUGGGGCCAGCCGCCUAAGGUGGGANGGA
rnacentral:rRNA from 1 species